CUCCAGCCACCAGCAAGCUCUCUCCUUGGUGUCCCCAGCUCCUGCCCCUCAUGCUGAUAGAAGCAUUGCCCGCUGUUCUUCCUGUUCUUACAGGUUUCCUAGUGCCUGUGACCAAACACCUUGUGUGUGCUCCCCAGGAGAGAAAACCGCUAGCAGCCUCAGGUGAGGAGUUGUUCCUCCUCAGACCCAGGAAUCAUUUCCCAGUGGAAUGACACGGUGAAGUGGAUCGCC
rnacentral:lncRNA from 1 species